GGGGCAGCGCCGGAGAUGGAGAGCCGGGGGUGACUGUAAAUCACUUGCGAAGCUUAGUGGGUUCGAAUCCCUCCUGCCCCA
rnacentral:tRNA from 1 species